rnacentral:tRNA from 1 species
CCUCUCGUGGUGUUAGGGUGACGCACCCUGUCUAGUGAACAGGGAGUCGUGAGUUCGAUUCUCACCGAGAAAA